rnacentral:rRNA from 1 species
UAGCGGUGAAAUGCGCAGAGAUAUGGAGGAACACCAGUGGCGAAGGCGACUUUCUGGUCUGUAACUGACGCUGAUGUGCGAAAGCGUGGGGAUCAAACAGGAUUAGAUACCCUGGUAGUCCGCGCCGUAAACGAUGAGUGCUAAGUGUUAGGGGGUUUCCGCCCCUUAGUGCUGCAGCUAACGCAUUAAGCACUCCGCCUGGGGAGUACGACCGCAAGGUUGAAACUCAAAGGA